UACGGAGGGUGCAAGCGUUAUCCGGAUUCACUGGGUUUAAAGGGUGCGUAGGUGGAGUGGCAAGUCAGUGGUGAAAUCUCCAAGCUUAACUUGGAAACUGCCGUUGAUACUAUCAUUCUUGAAUAUCGUGGAGGUAAGCGGAAUAUGUCAUGUAGCGGUGAAAUGCUUAGAUAUGACAUAGAACACCGAUUGCGAAGGCAGCUUGCUACACGAUCAUUGACACUGAGGCACGAAAGCGUGGGGAUCAAACAGG
rnacentral:rRNA from 1 species